rnacentral:rRNA from 1 species
AUUGAACGCUGGCGGCAGGCCUAACACAUGCAAGUCGAGCGGAUGAAGGGAGCUUGCUCCUGGAUUCAGCGGCGGACGGGUGAGUAAUGCCUAGGAAUCUGCCUGGUAGUGGGGGAUAACGUCCGGAAACGGGCGCUAAUACCGCAUACGUCCUGAGGGUGAAAGUGGGGGAUCUUCGGACCUCACGCUAUCAGAUGAGCCUAGGUCGGAUUAGCGAGUUGGUGGGGUAAAGGCCUACCAAGGCGACGAUCCGUAACUGGUCUGAGAGGAUGAUCAGUCACACUAGAACUGAGACACGGUCCAGACUCCUACGGGAGGCAGCAGUGGGGAAUAUUGGACAAUGGGCGAAAGCCUGAUCCAGCCAUGCCGCGUGUGUGAAGAAGGUCUUCGGAUUGUAAAGCACUUUAAGUUGGGAGGAAGGGCAGUAAGUUAAUACCUUGCUGUUUUGACGUUACCAACAGAAUAAGCACCGGCUAACUUCGUG